rnacentral:rRNA from 1 species
UACGAAGGGUGCAAGCGUUAAUCGGAAUCACUGGGCGUAAAGGGUGCGUAGGCGGGUCUUUAAGUCAGGGGUGAAAUCCUGGAGCUCAACUCCAGAACUGCCUUUGAUACUGAAGAUCUUGAGUUCGGGAGAGGUGAGUGGAACUGCGAGUGUAGAGGUGAAAUUCGUAGAUAUUCGCAAGAACACCAGUGGCGAAGGCGGCUCACUGGCCCGAUACUGACGCUGAGGCACGAAAGCGUGGGGAGCAAACAGG